GUUUGAAAUGUCAUUUGGCUUA
rnacentral:miRNA from 1 species